UGUUACAAAAUGAAGCACUCCACCCAUCCUCCUAGUCAGCUGACAAGCCACCAGACCAGGAGCUGCUCCUACCACACGGACCCAGGAGCUCCAGCCGUUCCACUGAGGUCAACUAGGCCAACAGCUCUUCGACACUGGCCACAGAUGUUAAACAAAGGUAUGGGUGAAGGCCAAGUAACCAUCAGAAGCUGUGCUGUGUUGUGCCCAAAUGUCAUGGACAAAUACCAAGGUAUCAGUCUAUUUUCAUGGGGCUGAAGAUGGCACCCAGGUCUUCACAUUUAUCAGGGGACCAGGACUGGCUUGCUGACCACUGAUGUUCCCUCACUGAGGGAAGUAGGAAAGGCCACUGGACUUCACCUGAGACUCUGGUUGCUCCCCCUGCAUAUCCUGGAGAUCUGUAUGUAACUUGACUCUAACUGACAUGGCCUCACAGUCUUGGUAGGUGCUAAGCCAAGCAAAAAGAGGAAGGUUAACUGAAGGGAGGACACUUUGUAUGCAGCCACGGGGAAGUUGUCCAUGCUGGAUAAGACUUUCUGAGUGUGUGGUCACUUUGGGGUCAUGCAUGUUUCUGUAAGUAAUCCCUCACCCAUGCUCUGUAAGUAUGCCUGACAAACUCACAGGUUCUCUAGGUUGGAUGUUGGUGGAUUUGUGUUUUGGGUUAUCACCUGUACUAAGGAGGGGGCAGACCUCUGCUUAAGUCACUCCAGGGAAAAGGCUCCAUAGCAAGGUGUUUAAGACAUACCUGCUGAGUAAGUGAACUGAAAAAUGACCUGGUAGGGCUAGGGAGAUGGCUCAGUCGAGAAAGUGCUCACCACUCAAGGAUGAGGACCUGAGUGAGUAUCCAUGGCAGCCAGCACAGCAGCAUGAGGCUGUGGAUCUCAGCACUGGAGAGGUGGAGACAGAUUCUCGGAGUUCAUUGUUUAGGUUAGACUGGCUGGCCAAUGAGCUCCAAGUUCAGUGAGAAAUCCUGUCCCAAAAUAUGAGGUGAAGCUGAGCGUGAUGGCACAUGCCUUUAACUUCAGCAUUUGGAAGCCAGAGGCAGGUGGAGCUCUUCUGAUGCCAACCUGACUUAAUAUAACAAGUUCCAAGGCUAGCCAAGGCCACACAGGGAGACCCUGUGUGAAAACACAACAGCAAACGAGGCAGAGAAAACAGGGAAGGACAUCCAACACCACUUCUGGCCUUCACACUCAUGCCCCACGGACACAUCAGACCCACAAC